rnacentral:rRNA from 1 species
GACGAACCGUGCGAACGUUAUUCGGAAUCAUUGGGCUUAAAGAGCACGUAGGCGGCGGCGAAGUGGGGGGUGAAAGGCUAUCGGCUCAACCGUGGCAUUGCCUUCCAAACUGCGUCGCUCGAGGAAGGUAGGGGCAGGUGGAACUUCCAGUGGAGCGGUGAAAUGUGUUGAGAUUGGAAGGAACGCCAGUGGCGAAAGCGACCUGCUGGAUCUUUUCUGACGCUGAGGUGCGAAAGCUAGGGGAGCAAACGGGG